GACUUUUUAACUAUAUAUAAGUAUAUAUUUUGAAAAUAUAAAAAAGAAAACAAUUCUAAAAGUCU
rnacentral:tRNA from 1 species